GAUGAACGCUGGCGGCGUGCCUAAUACAUGCAAGUCGAGCGAACAGACGAGGAGCUUGCUCCUCUGACGUUAGCGGCGGACGGGUGAGUAACACGUGGAUAGCCUACCUAUAAGACUGGGAUAACUUCGGGAAACCGGAGCUAAUACCGGAUAAUAUAUUGAACCGCAUGGUUCAAUAGUGAAAGACGGUUUUGCUGUCACUUAUAGAUGGAUCCGCGCCGCAUUAGCUAGUUGGUAAGGUAACGGCUUACCAAGGCAACGAUGCGUAGCCGACCUGAGAGGGGGAUCGGCCACACUGGAACUGAGACACGGUCCAGACUCCUACGGGAGGCAGCAGGAGGGAAUCUUCCGCAAUGGGCGAAAGCCUGACGGAGCAACGCCGCGUGAGUGAUGAAGGUCUUCGGAUCGUAAAACGCUGUUAUUAGGGAAGAACAAAUGUGUAAGUAACUAUGCACGUCUUGACGGUACCUAAGCAGAAAGCCACGGCUAACUACGU
rnacentral:rRNA from 1 species